UACGGAGGGUGCAAACGUUGCUCGGAAUCAUUGGGCGUAAAGCGCACGUAGGCGGCCCAGCAAGUCGGGUGUGAAAGCCCUCGGCUUAACCGAGGAAGUGCAUUCGAAACUACUGAGCUUGAAUACUGGAGAGGAUCGCGGAAUUCCCGGUGUAGCGGUGAAAUGCGUAGAUAUCUGGAGGAACACCGGUGGCGAAGGCGGCAUCCUGGACCGACACUGACGCUGAGGCACGAAAGCGUGGGGAGCAAACAGG
rnacentral:rRNA from 1 species